rnacentral:piRNA from 1 species
UGAUUGCUGGCACAGCAAGGGACU